UCGAGAAUUUUUCUCAAUGGGGGAAACCCUGAAGGAGCGACGCCGCGUGGAGGAUGAAUGCUUUCGGGUUGUAAACUCCUGUCAUUUGGGAACAAAGCCUUACGUUAACUGCGUGGAGGUUUGAUAGUACCAGAAGAGGAAGAGACGGCUAACUCUGUGCCAGCAGCCGCGGUAAUACAGAGGUCUCAAGCGUUGUUCGGAUUCAUUGGGCGUAAAGGGCGCGUAGGCGGCGAGGUAAGUCGGGUGUGAAAUCUCAGAGCUCAACUCUGAAACUGCACUCGAUACUGCUUUGCUAGAGGACUGGAGAGGAGAUUGGAAUUCACGGUGUAGCAGUGAAAUGCGUAGAGAUCGUGAGGAAGACCAGUGGCGAAGGCGGAUCUCUGGACAGUUCCUGACGCUGAGGCGCGAAGGCCAGGGGAGCAAACGGGAUUAGAUACCCCCGUAGUCC
rnacentral:rRNA from 1 species